UCGGGGAAGAGUGCUUCAUGGAGAGGGCACAGCAAGGGCAAAGCGCCUGAGGUGGAGCCGGCCGGCGGGGCUCUGGGAACAGCAAAAUGGCCAGUGCGACUGCAGCUGGGGCAGAAGAAGGGGAGAAGCCUCGGUAGGAGGUGGAGGCUUCGCAGUCUGAUCCCGUUGGGGGCGCGAUGAGUAUGGCUUUUGUCUGAAGUGUGAUGGGAAGCCUUUGGGGGAUUUGAAGACGGGGACAAAGCAAAAACGGUCUGAUUUGGGUUUCAAAAAGACCAUCUGGUGGCUGUGUAUAGAAGAGAAACCAAGACAGAAAAGCAUUAGGAGGUGACCAUGGGAGAACGGUGGGGAGAUGGCGACGGCUCGGUCACGGGGCAGGAGGCCCUCACCCCCUGCUCAUAGAGAUCCUCACCCUUGCAGCCACAGCUACAAGUACGACCAGCGGUUCCCUCCCCUGGGACAAAUUCUGGGCUCCAACAUGGCCUCCUUCACUCCUGCCACGAGGGAUCUGACCAGCCCUGAUCCCCAGAGGCCCUCAUUUCCCCCCAUUCUGGUCUCUGAGGAAGGACCACACAGCAGAGCACGGCAUCUGACUUCAGCAGGGGCUCCCUGAGACGCCAAGUGAUGCAACAGCCCAGAAGUGGGGAGAGGUAAGGCCUCCUGUGGACGGUUUGACCUAUGAGAGAAAGGAGAUGGGGGAUGCAGCAGAUACAUUUUUCUCCCUUCCUCUGUCUGGUGAGAUGUUCUCAGCAUGGUGAUUAUGCCUCGGAUGUGUCGAUGUCCUAUGCGAAUAAGAACCUGGCUACAACCUUUCUUGAAGCUGUGGACCACAUGGUGCUGCAUUCCUUGUGUUUGCUUCCUUUUCUUCUCUGUCCUUCUGUCCUUUUCCCGCACUCUCAUUGCCUCAAGACUGCACCUCCCAACAAGCCUGAUUGCUUAAGGGGUGCCUCACGCCUCAUUGUCUUGGGUGCCCCCAACCACGUGAUUCUAAUGGGCUCUGUCAACCAGUUCCUGUUCCCUCGUCACAGAGGUGGGCAUGUGUCCCCAGCGAGGCCACUGGAAGUCCUUACCUGGUGUCUUUUUAGUUGGGACUGAAGGAACAGUCUUUGAACCUGAAGAUGUGAGCCUGAGAACAGCUGGGGGCCAGCCCCAGGGAACAGGGAGGAAUCUGGCUGGGGGCAGGAAGCUGGCCUGCAGACAGAGGCAGAGAUGAGCAAUGAGAGCAUUCUGCGUCCAAUUGCUCCUGAGAGCCAGCUGCACCCCUGCCUGUCCACGGCUUCCUUCUGUGAGGCAGCACAUUCCUCCUCUUUCCUGGCUCGUUUGAAUUGGAUUUCCAUCAUUUGCCGUAUUAGUCAGGGUCCAGAUGGAACACAGAAGCCACUAGGAGUAUUUUACAUGGAGUUGAACACAGGGAACUGGCUGCCCAGAGAUGAGAGAGCUGAGAAACCAAACAGGAAUUAACAACACCAGGGAGCUGCUAACCCCCCUGGAGCUGGAGGGAUAAGGGGGCAGUGGCAUUACUGACAACCAGGACUGGGGCCACCCGGCAGAAGCUGAAACCAUGGGCAGCCCACGUGGUGGGAACUAGAGCCACAGAAUGGAGGCGGCCACUGUUGAGAUGCUGCCCAGAGCAGAAAGACAGGGGUAGGACUAGUGUGAGCUCACUCUUCCUUCUGCCCCUCAGCCUUCUAUCAUGCCUCUGUGUCAAAGCUGUCCCCAGGCAGAGGGCAAAGGAGCCUGGGAAUGAAGUUUUCUAUGAUGCAGAGCAGAGCAGAGCGGAGCCAGAGAGCGGGAGCAAACAGGCGAAUGGCCGACAUAUUGGUGGUCAAAGAGUCAGUUUAUUCCCCUGUGUUUGCUUUUGACUGUGAACCCCAAAGGGUACUGUGUCAUACCCUAGAAGUUCUUCAUAAAGGACCGGCGACGACAGCGGCUGUGUUGGCCGUCCCUGAGAGGUCCUGCUCCCUAGGAGGAAUGGUUCUCCUAGUAGGUGUUUUAAUGCCUCUACACCUGCAUGGGGAAUCCACAGGAAGUUGAGUUUAUUACUUAGGGACUCGGCUGAGCCGCGGUGAGAACCAGGGAGAGCCUCAGAAUUUCCACAGCCAGUAAUCUCCUUCCAGCACAGCCGAGGGGAGCAUCUCCUGGAGCCCCGCUUGGGCUGCUCAGAGCUGUUGGAGCGAUGCUGGGCACACUUGGAAGUUCUCCCCAGUGUCCAGCCUAAAUUCCUGUCUCUGAAUUGUCAGAGGACCUUGGGGACACCGGGGACGUGAGUGCCUCCUCUUAUCUAGGAGAUCAUUCAGGAUUUUGAAAAAAAGCAGGAAAAUAUUUUUGAAUUUGAACUGAGUGCUGACUUAGUGAAUUCUGAUGAUGUGGCAAAGGCUGGGCAGGGACGGGGGCAUGGGAGGGAUCUUAGACUCCAGAGUGACCGGAAUGAGUAACUGGAACUCGGCCAGAAAGUGGGGUUUGAGGUCCAGUUGUGCUCAGCAAAGAGGUUCCUGGGAACCUAAUGGGGACAAUUUGGGGUUUUGUGGCUCAUCUGAGCCGAGGUCGUUUCACAUGCGGGAGGGCAUGCAGCUCUCUACGCAUCUGUAUUUUAAAGUCAGUAAAAGGCCCCCCGAGGAAACCACACGGCGUUGGAUGGACGGGGUUCCAGUUCCGAAGCCUCUGCUUUCUGGCUUUCUUUACAAGAGGCUGUGGUGACCACUCCGGGUUGGGAGGCCAGGCUGCUGACCCAGCUUCUGGCUCCUGCCGAUGAUUCACUGUGGAUCCAGUGGACGGGUGGCGUGCGGGGCCUCGGCCUCAGUGUUGCCCUAGGCGGAGGGACGGGGGUCAGCGGGUGUUGAAAGAAGAGAUGAAAUUUUACCUUGGUGUUGUAGGUUGAAGUGUGUCCGCCUCAAAUUCCUGUGUUGAAGUCCUAACCCCUAGUACCCCGGAAUGUGACCUUAUUUGGUAAUAGGGUCUUUACAGAGGUGAACACGUCAUAAUGAGGUCAUUAGGGUGGGCCCCAAUCCCAUAUGACUGGUGUCCUUAUAAAAAGGGGAAAUUUGGACACAGACACCCACAGGGAAGACGAUGUGAAGAUGGCCAUCUGCGAGCCAGGGAGCCCUGGGGCGCAGUCUCUCUCACGGUCCUCAGAAGGAGCCAACCCUGCCAACUCCUUGGUUUGCCACUUCUCACCUCCAGCCCAAGCAAUGAAUGCCCUAGCCUAAUGUCUCUUCUCAUCAUGGAGGGUCAGGAGCAUCCCUAUUCCUUUUCCCCCCUCUCCUUCUUCUUUCCCAAUGCACUCUUGUAUCACCCUAGCAAACUCAGGUCAAAGCCCUGCAUUAUUUUCACCUAAAAAAUUUGUUGUCACUUCUGUGCCUUCAACUCUUCAAACUUCUACCCCCCCUUAAAUAUAGAAAGAAAUGCCUCUUCAUUGGUGUCAGGGGUCCAUCAACAAUAGGGAUGCAGGCGCAGAAGGAGGGAUGCAGGGGAGUCCAGGGAGGGAGGUGAGACCACGGGGACCAAGGGGAGAGGAUGCCCAUCACCACUUCUUCCCUGGAGAUCUGGAGGAAAAGUGGGCCACAGUCUCCGAGGCUUGACAAAAGGGCCGUUCUGCCUGAAGACAGAGUCGACGGAUGUGCGCACAGUCUGCCAGCACUCUCUACUUCUGCUCACUGAUGGGGAAGGAAAGACGGAAAGAAAGGCAUCUCUGAAUUGCUCUAUCUUCCCCUUUGAUUUCUCUGACAUCCUUUUCGGCAUAAAUAAAUGGUUGGCUCACAUAAGGAAUGAAGACAAGGAAGAAAG